AGUGAACGCUGGCGGUAGGCCUAACACAUGCAAGUCGAACGGCAGCACAGUAAGAGCUUGCUCUUACGGGUGGCGAGUGGCGGACGGGUGAGGAAUACAUCGGAAUCUACUUUUUCGUGGGGGAUAACGUAGGGAAACUUACGCUAAUACCGCAUACGACCUACGGGUGAAAGCAGGGGAUCUUCGGACCUUGCGCGAUUGAAUGAGCCGAUGUCGGAUUAGCUAGUUGGCGGGGUAAAGGCCCACCAAGGCGACGAUCCGUAGCUGGUCUAAGAGGAUGAUGCGCGACACUGGAACUGAGACACGGUCCAGACUCCUACGGGAGGCCGCAGUGGCGAAUAUUGGACGAUGGGCGGAAGCCUGAUCCAGCCAUACCGCGUUGGUGCAGAAGGCCUUCGGGUUGUAAAGCCCUUUUGUUGGGGAAGAACAGCAUCAGGUUAAUACCCCGCUGUUCUGACGGUACCCAAAGAAUAAGCACCGGCUAACUUCGUG
rnacentral:rRNA from 1 species